GAAUUCAACUCCUACGGGAGGCAGCAGUGGGGAAUAUUGGACAAUGGGCGCAAGCCUGAUCCAGCCAUGCCGCGUGAGUGACGAAGGUCUUCGGAUUGUAAAGCUCUUUUGCCAGGGAUGAUAAUGACGGUACCUGGAGAAUAAGCCCCGGCUAACUUCGUGCCAGCAGCCGCGGUAAUACGAAGGGGGCUAGCGUUGUUCGGAAUUACUGGGCGUAAAGCGCACGUAGGCGGAUUUGUAAGUCAGGGGUGAAAUCCCGGGGCUCAACCUCGGAACUGCCUUUGAUACUGCAAGUCUCGAGUCCGAUAGAGGUGAGUGGAAUUCCUAGUGUAGAGGUGAAAUUCGUAGAUAUUAGGAAGAACACCAGUGGCGAAGGCGGCUCACUGGAUCGGUACUGACGCUGAGGUGCGAAAGCGUGGGGAGCAAACAGGAUUAGAUACCCGUGUAGUCCAGGCGUU
rnacentral:rRNA from 1 species